rnacentral:rRNA from 1 species
GGGUCAGUAGGUUGGUCGUGCCACCGGUACGUACUGGUCUCGCUGAUUCCUCCUUCCUGAAGAACCGUAAUGCCAUUAAUCUGGUGUUGCGGGGAAACAGGACUGUUACUUUGAAAAAAUUAGAGUGUUUAAAGCAAGCUAACGCUUGAAUACAUUAGCAUGGAAUAAUGAAAUAGGACGAUCGAUCCUAUUUUGUUGGUUUCUAGGAUUGACGUA